rnacentral:rRNA from 1 species
UACGGAGGAUGCAAGCGUUAUCCGGAAUCAUUGGGUUUAAAGGGUCCGUAGGCGGAUUGGUAAGUCAGUGGUGAAAGUCUGCAGCUUAACUGUAGAACUGCCAUUGAUACUGCUAGUCUUGAAUUACUGUGAAGUGAUUAGAAUGUGUAGUGUAGCGGUGAAAUGCAUAGAUAUUACACAGAAUACCAAUUGCGAAGGCAGAUCACUAACAGUAUAUUGACGCUGAGGGACGAAAGCGUGGGGAGCGAACAGGAUUAGAAACCCCAGUAGUCC